GCCAAAGCGAGAGGCCCUGUCUUCUCUCUCUAGAUUUUGCACGGCAAACCGCCGCCCGUGUAGAGGUGUGUGCGUUUGACGAAAAUUUAUAGAUGAAAUACGGGGGAAGCGGGGUUUGAAGUCUUUCGUUCGUCACACACACAUGCAUUUACCAGCGGAUAUCGCUGCACCGAGUAUAGCCAUCUCUCUCGAUCCACCAUGAUUUUUCUGCUAUCGCGCUCAUCCGGGUGUUAGGCAUCCUCAGUGUGUCCAGAUCUUUCCCUAUGGAAGGAUGUAUUGAAGUGAGGUGCGAUUUCUUGUGCGACGUACUUUGCUCGUCUACGUUUUGGGCAGCGUUCCUUCUUCUUCAGUUAUGGAAUGAUUUAUCCUAGCAAAUUGUUGAGUUACAGGUGUGCGCGCUAUUUAUCAACGACUACCUGCUAGCCUCGUCAACAAACUUCAAAGUGAGCGACGCAAAGAAAACGUUUUCCAGUUUUAAAAUAUUAAGCUCCCUGUGAGGACGUCAUUACUUAACAGAAGCCGGUUCAACACGCGCAGCUCCUGUUCAUGACGUCAUCACUAAACUGAAGCCAGCU